GCAAGCUAAUCCCCAUGCUACCUUCUGUUGGGAUGCCCUCAGAUCUCUUAAGCUAAGUAGUGUUGGGCUGGACCAAUAUUUUGAUGGGAAACCUUCAGAUAAUACUUAUAUUAUGGCUUGAA
rnacentral:rRNA from 1 species